rnacentral:rRNA from 1 species
UACGGGGGGGGCAAACGUUGUUCGGAAUUACUGGGCGUAAAGGGCUCGUAGGUGGCCAACUAAGUCAGACGUGAAAUCCCUCGGCUUAACCGGGGAACUGCGUCUGAUACUGGAUGGCUUGAGUUUGGGAGAGGGAUGCGGAAUUCCAGGUGUAGCGGUGAAAUGCGUAGAUAUCAAGAGGAACACCAGUGGCGAAGGCGAGUCCCUGGACGAUACCUGACACUGAGGCACGAAAGCCAAGGGAGCAAACAGG